CCCUAGCAACCCCCUAGCCACCUCCUAGCCACAACACAACCCCCUAGCAACCCCCUAGCGACAACACAACCCCCUAGCAACCCCUAGCGACAGCACAACCCCAUAGCAACCCCUAGCCGACAGCCCCAUAGCAACUCCCUAGCGACAGCCCCAUAGCAACUCCCUAGCGACAGCGCAACCCCGUAGCAACCCCCUAGCGACAGCGCAACCCCCUAGCGACAGCGCAACCCCAUAGCAACCCCCUAGCGACAGCGCAACCCCCUAGCGACAGCGCAACCCCAUAGCGACAGCGCAACCCCGUAGCAACCCCCUAGCGAUAGCGCAACCCCAUAGUGGCAAAGCAAAAACAGGUUUUUAGACAUUUUUAAAACUGUAUUCAGACCCUUUACUCAGUACUUUGUUGAAGCACCUUUGGCAGCGAUUACAGACUCGAGUCUUCUUGGGUAUGACGCUACAAGCUUGGCACACCUGUAUUUGGGGAGUUUCUCCCAUUCCUCUCUGCUGAUCCUCUCAAGCUCUGUCAGGUUGGAUGGGGAGCGUCGCUGCACAGCUAUUUUCAGGUCUCUCCAGAGAUGUUCGAUCAGGUUCAAGUCCGGGCUCUGGCUGGGCUACUCAAGGACACUCAGAGACUUGUCCCGAGGCCACUCCUGCUUUGUCUUGGCUGGGUGCUUAGGGUCGUUGUCUUGUUGGAAGGUGAACCUUCACCCCAGUCUGAGGUCCUGAGUUCUCUGGAGCAGGUUUUCAUCAAGGAUCUCUCUGUACUUUACUCCGUUCAUCUUUGCCUCGAUCCUGACUAGUCUCCCAGUCCCUGCUGCUGAAAAACAUCCCCACAGCAUGAUGCUGCCACCACCAUGCUUCACCGUAGGGAUGGUGCCUUGUUUCCUCCAGACGUGACGCUUGGCAUUCAGGCCAAAGAGUUCAAUCUUGGUUACGUCAGACCAGAGAAUCUUUUUUCUCAUGGUCUGAGAGUCCUUUAGGUGCCUUUUGGCAAACUCCCAGCGGGCUGUCAUGUGCCUUUUACUGAAGAAUGGCUUCCGUCUGGCCACUCUACCAUAAAGGCCUGAUUGGUGGAGUGCUGCAGAGAUGGUUGUCCUUCUGGAAGGUUCUCCCAUCUCCAUAGAGGAACUCU
rnacentral:lncRNA from 1 species